rnacentral:rRNA from 1 species
GACGAACGCUGGCGGCGUGCUUAACACAUGCAAGUCGAACGCUGAAGACCUGGCUUUUGUUGGGUUGGAUGAGUGGCGAACGGGUGAGUAACACGUGAGUAACCUGCCCUCUUCUUUGGGAUAACGCCCGGAAACGGGUGCUAAUACUGGAUAUUCACUGAUCUUCGCAUGGGGGUUGGUGGAAAGGUUUGUUCUGGUGGGGGAUGGGCUCGCGGCCUAUCAGCUUGUUGGUGGGGUGAUGGCCUACCAAGGCUUUGACGGGUAGCCGGCCUGAGAGGGUGACCGGUCACAUUGGGACUGAGAUACGGCCCAGACUCCUACGGGAGGCAGCAGUGGGGAAUAUAGCACAAUGGGCGAAAGCCUGAUGCAGCGACGCCGCGUGAGGGAUGGAGGCCUUCGGGUUGUAAACCUCUUUCGCUCAUGGUCAAGCCGCAACUGUGGGUUGCGGUGAGGGUAGUGGGUAAAGAAGCGCCGGCUAACUACGUG